rnacentral:rRNA from 1 species
AUUGAACGUUGGCGGCAGGCCUAACACAUGCAAGUCGAGCGGGGUUUUCGGACCUAGCGGCGGACGGGUGAGUAAUGCGUAGGAAGCUGCCCGAUAGAGGGGGAUACCAGUUGGAAACGACUGUUAAUACCGCAUAAUGUCUACGGACCAAAGUGUGGGACCUUCGGGCCACAUGCUAUCGGAUGCGCCUACGUGGGAUUAGCUAGUUGGUGAGGUAAUGGCUCACCAAGACGACGAUCUCUAGCUGGUUUGAGAGGAUGAUCAGCCACACUGGAACUGAGACACGGUCCAGACUCCUACGGGAGGCAGCAGUGGGGAAUAUUGGACAAUGGGCGCAAGCCUGAUCCAGCCAUGCCGCGUGUGUGAAGAAGGCCUUCGGGUUGUAAAGCACUUUCAGCGAGGAGGAAGGGUGGUGUGUUAAUAGCACAUCAUUUUGACGUUACUCGCAGAAGAAGCACCGGCUAGCUCUGUGCCAGCCGCCGCGGUAAAAC